rnacentral:rRNA from 1 species
CACUCCUGCGGGAGGCAGCAGUAGGGAAUCUUCCGCAAUGGGCGAAAGCCUGACGGAGCAACGCCGCGUGAGUGAUGAAGGUCUUCGGAUCGUAAAACUCUGUUAUUAGGGAAGAACAAAUGUGUAAGUAACUAUGCACGUCUUGACGGUACCUAAUCAGAAAGCCACGGCUAACUACGUGCCAGCAGCCGCGGUAAUACGUAGGUGGCAAGCGUUAUCCGGAAUUAUUGGGCGUAAAGCGCGCGUAGGCGGUUUUUUAAGUCUGAUGUGAAAGCCCACGGCUCAACCGUGGAGGGUCAUUGGAAACUGGAAAACUUGAGUGCAGAAGAGGAAAGUGGAAUUCCAUGUGUAGCGGUGAAAUGCGCAGAGAUAUGGAGGAACACCAGUGGCGAAGGCGACUUUCUGGUCUGUAACUGACGCUGAUGUGCGAAAGCGUGGGGAUCAAACAGGAUUAGAUACCCUUGUAGUCCCAUGA